rnacentral:rRNA from 1 species
UGGGGGAUAUUGCGCAAUGGGCGCAAGCCUGAUGCAGCGACGCCGCGUGGGGGAUGAAGGCCUUCGGGUUGUAAACUUCUUUUGCUCUGAACAAGGCGCACUUUGGGGUGUGUUGAGUGUAGGGGUUGAUUAGCGCCGGCUAACUACGUGCCAGCAGCCGCGGUAAUACGUAGGGCGCGAGCGUUGUCCGGAAUUAUUGGGCGUAAAGGGCUUGUAGGUGGCUGGUUGCGUCUGUCGUGAAAGCUCAUGGCUUAACUGUGGGUUUGCGGUGGGUACGGGCUGGCUUGAGUGCAGUAGGGGAGGCUGGAAUUCCUGGUGUAGCGGUGGAAUGCGCAGAUAUCAGGAGGAAUACCGGUGGCGAAGGCGGGUCUCUGGGCUGUUACUGACACUGAGGAGCGAAAGCAUGGGGAGCGAACAGG